AGCUUUGCGCAGUGGCAGUAUCAUAGCCAACGAGGUUUAUCCGAGGCGUGAUUAUUGCUAAUUGAAAACUUUUCCUAAUACCCCGCCGUGACGACUUGCAAUAAAGUCAACACUGGCAAUUUUUGACAGUUUCUACGGAGA
ensembl:snRNA U4 U4 spliceosomal RNA